ensembl:lncRNA
GUGUCUGAGAGAGAGUGUGUCUGAGAGAGUGUGUCUGAGAGAGUGUGUCUGAGAGAGUGUGUGAGAGAGAGAGUGUCUGAGAGAGUGUGUGAGAGAGAGUGUCUGAGAGAGUGUGUGAGAGAGAGAGAGUGUGUCUGAGAGAGUGUGUGAGAGAGAGUGUCUGAGAGAGUGUUGAGAGAGAGAGAGUGUGUCUGAGAGAGUGAGAGAGAGAGAGUGAGUGUAGUGUAAAAGAAUCGAAAGCUCUGAAAAGUGAAUGUAACAGUUACAAAAAUAGAGACUUUUGACUUAUUCCACGCCUGCCACCCGUAUCCUCCCUCCAGACCUAGCCCAGGGGAAGUGUCACACUGGUGCCAAAACCUGGGACGGAGGAGGAUCACCGCCCUGGAGAUAAUGUUAAUUCCAUGUUAAUUCCCUUGCCGGCCUCCACGCUCCUGAAGCUCUUCGAGGGUGCUGCGGACGCGGGGGCUGGCCAGUGUCAAGUGGGCGGUCCUCCUGCUGCCACUAUUGUCGGGGAAGCCCAGCUCGCAACCCAACAGCUUCCGGUCCGUGAACCUGCUGCAGUACCUGGACUUAAAGUGGGCCAUUUUGCAACAGGUUGGCCACACCCCG